UCCACUGUAGCUCUCUCUCUCUCUCUCUCUCUCUUCCUCCCUCUCCCUCGCUCUCUUUCCCUCUCUCUCUUCCUUCUUUCUCUCUCGCUCUUUUUCACACUCACACUGCUCCUCAGUCAUGAUGACUUUUGCUCAUAACUAUACUUACUCCAUGCUGUUAUAACACUAUUUCUUCGUUUCAGCGAAGCUAAAAAAUUGAGUCUUAUUCUUGCUCCUCGAUACGGACGCAAUGAUCGCUUCCCUUCCUGCUCUCUUUUCUUAUCAACCCAAUUUCUCUUCUUUCUCUCUCUCUCUCUUCUUAUUGCGACUUUGCAUUCUAUUUUUGCCUUAUUUUUGUUAUAUUUUGCGUUUGUAUUUCAUCUUGAGUGUGUGUCUAUUCUGCGUUUGUUUACUUUGCGUUUAGUUCGUGUCGCAUUCUGCGUGCUAUUUUGAUUAUGCGCCAUUAUUCUUGCGUUAUUUUACAUUAUUCGUUUUGCUAUUAUUUUAUUGGUUUACUUUCGCUAGUAAGUACGUUUUAAGGUAUGCGCCACAGUUGUUAUAAUUAACUUAUAUCGUUAUGAUUUCACUAUUUUGUUAAGAUAAUUUAAUUUUUUUUAGUUGCCCCGUGAGUCUCCCAGGGCACGAAUAAAGUGGAUGAAUCUCUCGAGAUUCGCAAAACUCGUAAGACUGCAAUUUCAAACGAGCCAAAAUGACGGCUCGAUUCGGAAGAAUAUUCGCACAAGAUUCCUCCAUCGAUUUUCUGGUAAAAGGAACGCCAUCGAGUUUUCACAGUUCUCAUACGGAAGUACGAAAAUUUAAUCGAUAAUGAAUUUUUCUGUUUCAGAUUGACUAUUCGCGCCUUUUUUAUUUGGAAAAUGGUUCGAAUAUCGACUGCGAACAGCUCGGACCGAAGCUGGACAGUGUAACAUAACCUCAAAAUGAGACUACGAGAAUCACACACUCAAGAAGGAAAGUUUCCGUACUGACCGUCGAAAUGAUGAUGAUUUUCGACGUGAUUCAGUAAGGCGGUAUUUUUUUAUUGAAGAUGAUUAACGUGGUUUUAUUAUACGGAGCGAAAAGAAGUUUAUUGAUUCAGGAAAAGUAUAGAGGAAAGGAGCAUAAACAACGGAUGAAACAGAAUGGAUUUAUCGAAAAAUUUAGGUACGACAAGUAACGAGAACAAUAAUAUUUCUAGUACGUGACAAGGAGGAAAAUAACUCGAAGAGUUUCGAAUAAGUAACGAGUCAUUUCAAAAACCUUGAAAAAAAUGAAGUGAGUGAAUAUUGUUCCGUAAUUUGAAUCUGACAGAAUUGUUCAAUCGAAAGAUUAGUUUGAUUACACAUUCGACCUAAAAAAGGUAUCUUCAUAACAGCACUCAGCAUCGAUCACCCCUAAGUAUCAUCUCAACGAAAAUUAUUCAACGUAAGUCGAUUGAUAAAAAAAUGUGCCCUGCUGACAAUUCCGUUAUUAUCUUGAACGAAUUCUCUACUGUGACUAAAAUGGUAAAAGUGUUCGAUGUAACAUGAGAGUGACAUGCUGAAAAAAAACAGUGUUUUUACCUUUCUCAGCUGCUUCCUCACUUUGUUGUAUGUAGAAAUAUCUAUUCAUGCAUAUGUGUAUACAUAUGUGUAUUGUACAUACAAAUAAAUAACGCUGGGAAACGA